UAGUGCGUUGGAGCGUCAUCCAAAAAGUCACUACAAAAUAGUCACCUCAACAGCGACUUUUCUUCAUUCAACCAGUUCCUUUCCUUUGGUUCUUAAGAAAUUGCAAUUUUUUUAGAAAUCAUCUAAGUUCCAAAUGUUAUUGCGCAUUACAUUUAAUUAUCAAAAUUUCUAUGGCGGAAUGGUAUUUUAUUACCUUCAAGCGCUCUAAAGAGUUAAGGUAGUGGGUUCGAGUACCUCCGUAAAUCUGGAUCCGUCAAUGUGCUGUCAUUUUUUAAUGAGUGAUAUGUUCUUCAAUUUGACAUGGGUUUGUAAGUCAUUCUAUGUCUAAAUACUCAAGCGUGCAUAUGUAUGCGCAGUGCUAAAUAAAUAAUGUCUAAUAAAAGAAGGCAUCAGAUGUUAAUCUGAUUUUUCUUAUCACACUACCUUGAGGGUAAAUGGCUGCAAAUUAGUCACAAAAAUCAUGCCAGAAUUGUACGAGUUACGUACAGAAGUUUUGAAAAUUCGCAACAGAAACCAAAAACAUAGAUGGAAAUAGAUUGGUAAUUUCCCCCUUAAAUCUGAAGAGUUUAAAGUAAAAUAAGCUUUCGAAAGAAGAAGAAAAUCAGAAAAAACUUUCCAAAAAACAAUUCUAAUGAACUAAAAAGAAUAGGCAAGAUAAUGAGAGAAUUCAAAAUAAAUGCGAUGAGAUGGAGAGCAAUAAUAGAAUCCGUAUAUUUCAAUUCGGAGUAACGAGGAAUAUGUUUAGAUGUAUGCAGCCUUCUAUGUAAAAUUUAUGAUUGCAGUUUUACGCUCUUCACUAAAAAUUUAUUAAAAAAUAUUUGAUCUUCAUAAAUCCUCGUCAGUUCCCAAACCAUAGUUCUACAUACAAACUUGUACGCCUCAAUAGUACGUAAACAAGGAAAAUUUUAGAACAUUUCUACUGCAAAGUAACAAUUCAAGCAUUAAUUUGUAAACUCAGUUGUUAGAAUUUCAAACCACUUUCAGCUAUUUUGCAAACACAAAGAAGCUUCUUCGCUUUUAGCUGCACUUAAAGUCUUUCGUCGUCUUUCAAAGCCUACUGUAAAAUUUAAAAGUAAAAUAAUAAAAGAAACAUUGAAAGGCACUGUGUGUUUUUUUUUAAUUUGUCGUUAAAACUUUAACCGCAUGCACAAGCUUUGAAUCGUUCUAAAUGCAAAAGAACACAAUUUUUCUUUGAUAACAAGAAAGUGCAAUUAUCUCUAAAUCUUCUAAACACUCAACAUUUUUCCUGGCUGAACUUCGCUUUAAAAAAGAAAAGAGAGUGAUUAAAGUGAAAACUGUUGUUAUCUUGUAAAACAAACUGUAUUUGAUGGUUUUGCCAAGAAAACUUCACCUCUAUGUUUUUUAAAAUUGAAAAUUGUCGAUAUACGAAGAAGUAAAAAUAAUUUCAGCCACUUCAGUAAACAGUCUGGGUUUACUUUUUGAGGAUGAUGUCUUGCUACUUGAAGCUCGGUAUGCUGCUACUUCAGAAGAUCCUUUAUAGCUCCGAGGCGCCAGACUUGGUGGCUGCAGUAAAUCCUUCAUUGGCACCUAGAGAACAACCCUCAUCCAUGGAUACGACAAAAACAACAUCAACAAAGAUUUUUAGGUGUCUUCAGGUUAAUUGGGUACUUGCACUUUAGGAAGAUGAUCUCCCAUACCCUCACAUGUGACUUAUGACGACAGCGUCAAUUAAUCUUUGUCAGCAAAAUAAUUCUU
rnacentral:lncRNA from 1 species